GCUUCGCUGGAGACCUAAAGCCCUCCUAUUCAUUGUUUUGAUUCGUUUUCAAUUACCUUUGCCGCAUGCCACGGAAUGGAAGGGGGCUCGAUCUGCCAUCCUGAGGCGCUAAGGGGCUGAAGUUUUUGAAACGGACAGCAAUGUUUUGUUGACGCCUUGAAUCAAGCUUUUGACUGAGACCCACAAUGUCUUUCUUAUUCUAAAUCGAACACUUUCCUGCAGGAAAUAGAGUAAGAUAUAUCGGCUUUGGAGUGAAUAUUUGGUUACCUUUGUAGAGUUCUGAAUUUUUUAUGAAUAGUUCUCAUGUACUAAGAAACACACAAACAGUUGAAUCAAGGUCAAGGAAAAAAUGUUUCAUGGUUACAGGGAUCAAUAGAGCUUUUAGUAGCAAAAAACGAAGAGAUUCUUUUCGUGCAACUUGGAUGCCACAAGGUGAUCAAGUGACAUUUUAGUCCAUUUUAUACUUUUGGAGAACUUCCAGCUAUCAAGGAGACGAAAAGCUAUGUGAAGUAAAAGAAGAAAAGGUCGCCGACUGCUACUAAGAACCUAACAGAACUUUU